rnacentral:rRNA from 1 species
UGAACCUAGUGAUGUAUGAGUUAGUGGCGGACGGGUGAGUAACGCGUGGAGAACCUGCCGUAUACUGGGGGAUAACACUUAGAAAUAGGUGCUAAUACCGCAUAAGCGCACAGCUUCGCAUGAAGCAGUGUGAAAAACUCUGGUGGUAUACGAUGGAUCCGCGUCUGAUUAGCUGGUUGGCGGGGUAACAGCCCACCAAGGCGACGAUCAGUAGCCGGCCUGAGAGGGUGAACGGCCACAUUGGGACUGAGACACGGCCCAAACUCCUACGGGAGGCAGCAGUGGGGAAUAUUGCACAAUGGGGGAAACCCUGAUGCAGCGACGCCGCGUGAGUGAAGAAGUAUUUCGGUAUGUAAAGCUCUAUCAGCAGGGAAGAAAUACUGACCUUACGGUCAGCAGACGGUACCUGACUAAGAAGCCCCGGCUAACUACGUGCCAGCAGCCGCGGUAAUACGUAGGGGGCAAGCGUUAUCCGGAUUUACUGGGUGUAAAGGGAGCGUAGACGGCAGCGCAAGUCUGAAGUGAAAUCCCAUGGCUUAACCAUGGAACUGCUUUGGAAACUGUGCAGCUGGAGUGCAGGAGAGGUAAGCGGAAUUCCUAGUGUAGCGGUGAAAUGCGUAGAUAUUAGGAGGAACACCAGUGGCGAAGGCGGCUUACUGGACUGUAACUGACGUUGAGGCUCGAAAGCGUGGGGAGCAAACAGGAUUAGAUACCCUGGUAGUCCACGCCGUAAACGAUGAUUACUAGGUGUUGGGGGACCAAGGUCCUUCGGUGCCGGCGCAAACGCAUUAAGUAAUC